UUCUUUUCCAUGGUUUUGGUUGUUGCCUAUGGAAUUAAUUUACCAAAAAACUUUCUCAUUUUAUUUGUUCUACUUAAGUUCCAGCCAGUUUGACCAAUUGCCUACUUCUGAAUGUCCUGCCCUUUCCAUCCUACAACAUAAGCUUGUCAAAUUCCCAUCAAACUCUCAAAGUCUGUCUCAAAUAGUCUUCAUUUAAUAUGAUUUUCUUUAUUUUAUGAGAUUUAUAAGGUCUCUCUCUCCUUCAAGUUUAAAAAGGUGCUAUAAAGAUAGUAUCUUUUCCAUCUCUUAUAGGUCCUACCAGAUUCUUCCUUGGAAUUUAAUUAUUGAGCGUCAGCUUUAUUUUGUGUAAAUAGUCUGGAAACAUGAUUUUCAGCAUGGCUAACAAAGCAUGUAUGGACAAGUUUGUCAGAACAUAUUUAUACAGCACCCUAGAUAUGUUGACUGCUGCUUUCUGCACAAUGGAUACUCUUGGGAGACUCGUUGCUCAUCAGAUCUACAUAGGACAACCCAGUACUUAAGAAUACAGAUUCUGUGCCUACCUAACCUGGAGUCAAAUAUCAGCUCCAUUGCUUUCAUGCUCAUGUGAUCUGGGGCAAGGCUUGCAUAAUGGAUAUUAUGGAUGCAAGAAACACAAAAGGUAAAUUUAAUAAGUGCUCACAUCCUAAAAGAAAUCUGUGCUUUGUACCUCCACAACUGGCAAAUUGUCAUGAAUGUUUGUUUUAAGUUAAAACCACAUUUUUCAAGCAU